CCUACGGGGAGCUGCAGUCGAGAAUCAUGCACAAUGGGGGAAACCCUGAUGGAGCGACGCCGCGUGGGGGAAUGAAGGUCUGCGGAUUGUAAACCCCGGUCAUGUGGGAGCAAAUUAAAAAGAUAGUACCACAAGAGGAAGAGACGGCUAACGCUGUGCCAGCAGCCGCGGGAAUACAGAGGGCGCAAGCGGUGUUCGGAAUCACUGGGCGUAAAGCGUGCGUAGGCUGUUACGUAAGUCGGGUGUGAAAGGCGCGGGCUCAACCCGCGGACGGCACAUGCUACUGCGAGACUAGAGUAAGGGAGGGGGAACCGGAAUUCUCGGUGUAGCCGU
rnacentral:rRNA from 1 species